rnacentral:lncRNA from 1 species
UCACAGUAGAAAUAUAAUUAAUUAUAAACAAAAACCUAGGAAUUAUCCUUGAUUCUGCUCUCUCCCACUCACAGAUCCAUCUACAAGUUCUGACUGAACUACUUCUCACCACAAAACAUAUCCCGAUAUGUCCACUUUUCUGCAUUCCCACUGCUACCAUCCCGGUCCGGUUCACGACUGGCUUUCUCCCAAACUACUCCAACGACCUCCUAACUGGCUACCUAAAUCACUGGCCUAGGGUGACUCUUCUACCAAGUGAUGGACGUCUGCUGAAGCAAAGAGCCAGAUCUCGAGCUGGCCAGCCUGAGGGAAGGGCUGCACCGUGUCCACGCGUGUUGCCUGGCCUGGCACAGGACACAGGUGCUGCGUGUACGUCUGCUGGACCACUGACCUGAGGCAGGUGGACACCUGUUAACAUUUUCCGGGGUGGGCGCCGAUUAAUGCUGAGUGUGCGGGUUCACCUCACAUGGAGAUACUGGUUAUUUUUCCUGAGACAAUGUAAACUAGUGGAAAGGACAAACAGGAGUUUGAAUUACUGUACUUGAAGAGUCAUUUUUCUUUAGCCUUCAGCAGAUGAUCGAACAUAGUCAGUGUAAAAGCUCCGUGACAGUAACAAGCAGACCUGCCAAAUGAUGCCAAAGCAGCUCACUCACAGUAUUCUUCUGAGUUUUCAAACUUGUUCAAAGCCGAUGUAAUAUCCAGAGGGAGGACUGGUAACCUCUCCAUUCUUCAACGCCUAGCACAGUAUCAGACUCCGUGUUGUCAUCUCUCUCAGCCUCCUGGGUUUAUUUCCACACAGUUUCCUUUCCUACAGCCUCAUUCCCGAUGACUUCCUGACUGGCAGGCGGCAAAAACAAAGUGUGUGUAACAGAGAAUAGGGGUGCAUUGUCAGCCCAGCUCCACGUGCUGCUUUUUCAAGGAGUUACUUGUGACUUAGGCAGAUAUGACCCCUCUUAGGUGCUCAUUCUUAUCCCUGUAAGAUGAGGGUGAUUGGAAGACCAUGAGGUUAUCCACAGGGGACCACAGAAGGACCUGUAUCAAGCUGAUAAAGGCUAAUUAGUAUCAAUUCAAAUUGAUAAAAUUAACGUUUACCUGGUAUUUGUGUUUUCCCCUGAACUUUGGACAAAUUUACCAAAAUCUGUUUUUUUAAAUCUAUUUUAUCACAAAAUCACUUCACGUGAUAGUUAGGGAGGGCUGUAAGCCAGUGCCUG